UCACCCACUGUUUCCUUGGCCCGUAUGGCCGUCUCCCUCUAGCCUCUACUCCGACCCCGGCCACUGCCCGCGGCGCGCCAUGGAGCCGGACGCCGACGAGGAUUACAUGGGCGACCUCUCCCACUUCCUCCCGCCGAGUCCGUCCUCCUCCACCCCAUCGAGUAACCUCGGGCGCCGGAAGCAACCACCCGCGCAGGCGCAGGCGCGGGCGAAGCGCGGGAAGGGGGUGCCGUGGCAGGAGCGGUGGAAGCAGGAGCGCGAGAGGAAGCAGCGGGAGGAGGACGCACGCACGAUGGCCCGGCUCGCGGAGGCCAUCCCGGAGAGCAACGUAGGGUUCAGGAUGUUGAAGCUGAUGGGAUACGACCCGGGGGCGCGCGGCGCCGCCGAGCCCGUCGGCAUCGAGAUCCGCCGCUCGAGGGCUGGCCUCGGGGCGGAGCCUGCGGUGGCACCGGCGCCGGCGCCGGCUCCGACGGAGAAGACGCGGGAGGCGGUGGAGAUGGAGCGGAGGCGGCAGGAGGAGAUGAUGGGGGAGCUAAGGGCGAGGAAGAGCACGCAGUGGAGGGGGCGGAGGUUGGUGUGGGACUUCCGCAAGGCCGAGGCGGCGCUCGCGCAGCUGGAGAACCGGGAGGUGGAGCCGCCGGCGCCGGAGGGGGAGGACAAGGAUAAAGAGGCAGAGGAGGAAGAGGAGGUGAUCACAGAAGAGGAUUUGCAGAAUAUAUUAUCCAAGUUGCGCAAUCAAUACCAGUACUGCCUAUAUUGUGGAUGCAAGUAUGAAUCAGUGGAAGCACUGGCAAAGGAAUGCCCUGGCCCUAAUGAGGAUGACCAUUGAUUUGUUGUAUUAAGGGUGACAAAGAAUUAUCCUAGAUACAAACAGGUGAUGAUUCUAUACUCACUGCAAUGUUGUUCAGUCAUGAUUGGAGUACUGCAUUGGAUUCCUAAUAUGCUGGACGCCACAAGCUUUGUGCUCUUGUCAUUAUCAAACAGACACAAUUGAGCACUAGAGAUGUCUUGUUUCUGUUGGCCAUGUGGGCUAUGCUUAUACUUCUUGUUUAUUAUAGUUUGUAGCCAUUUUAUGUAAGGUGAUGAACCCUUAAGUUGACAAUAGGACAGAAUUUACUACCCUGCAAGUGCUGGAAGCCAUCCCCUCCAGACUUGUAAGAUUUUGCAGCUGGAAAGAUGGGUUUCCAUAUGAUAUGCGGAUAUUUACUACUUCUUGCUAUGCAACAGACUGAAGCCGAGCAACAUCUUCAGAAGGCCUUCAAUCCUCAUCAAGGCACUUCAUAGCUAGAAGAGAAUAGUUACCAGGAAGAUUGCAUAUCUGCUGUGUGUGUGUGUGUGGGUGGGUGGGGCGUUUGGCUAAUUUGUCUGCUUGACUUUGUAGCCAUUACAGUCCACUGCUAGAAUGGAAUAUCUGCACACUGCAAUGUCAAUUUUGCUGCAAGUCUUGUGUGUCGUAUGCGGAUCCAUGAUUGCUGAUGAUAUGCGUAGGAACGGCUGUGAUCACUGCUUCCUACCAUAAUGCCAUAUAGCUUCAGCAUUAUUUAGCA